rnacentral:misc_RNA from 1 species
AAAGUCGUAACAAGGUUUUCCUUCCGGUUAAAGCUAUUAACCUAUUGAAGCCUGACGUGGGCGACUAUAAAAAUAACCAUGGAGUUCGGUCUUUUGGACUGGACAACACCGCUGAAAUGCUGUAAUCAACUAUUGUUGUACCAGCAUGCCCUCUUAUAGGGCCCACAGAUCAAGCUGCGGUGAUUCUACCUAGAGUAUUUAGGUAGGACUAUAAUAUGACCGGUCUCACCUGAGAUGGUUGAGAGAACAUGUUCCGUAGGUGAACCUGCGGAAGGAUCAUUACCGAGUUAGGGUCUUAUAGGCCCGAUCACCAACCCUUUGUUUACUAUACCAUGUUGCUUUGGUAGGCCCGCCUUUCGGGGCCGCCGGGGGCUUAUAUGCUCUUGGUCAGUGCCUGCCAGUAGCCUUAUUAAAUUCUUUUAUAAUUAUGUUGUCUGAGUAUAAAUAUAAAUCGUUAAAA